AGAAGUUUAGAAAAGGGCUUCAGCAUGUUAAACAAUUAUUCUAGUUUAUGCAUACAUUAUUUUUUUUUAGUACCUAUUACAUUUAUUGUGUUAUUUGGUCAUGAUUGAAGGCAUGUUUUCCACAUGACGCCUUGGCAAAAUACAAUUUUAUUUGUACUUUUUUUUUUCUUAGUUCAAUACAAAGCCAAAGUCAUAUUGUCAUGUAAUUAUUGUAAUUGAAUAACUAAACUGAUGUAGAAUGUCAUAUUUACAUAUCAGACUUUGUACAAAAAUCAAAAUCUUAUCAAAUAGGUGACGAAAAAAAAAGGAAAUCCAUCCUGACUCGUCCCCUUAGACAUUCAGACAUGAAAAGAAUGUUGUGUUUAAGUGCAGCGGAAUAGAUAAAGGUCAAGAGACAAAUAAAUUCUACAAAAUGUUUUAGGAUAGUAGUCUGUUCAGCCAAUUACGCCAUGUGUGUUCCAGAGGUCGGUGGUCCGCUAGAUAGGAAGAAUUUGAAGGGAGUGUUUGCUAUGUCCAGGAUUGUCACUCUCCUACUUGAAAGAUUUUCUUCAAAUAUGUAAAAUGUGAUUUGAAAAUUACACUUUUUGUAAGGUAUACAGUUUCCUUUUUAUUUGCUUUAGUUAGUUUGUUAAAGACUGAUAUUGUAGUAUAUACUCCAUAUUUUCUGAUCAUGUGGAUAAGACAUGAAAAUGAAGUAACAUAGGUUUAAAGAGGAAUGAAAACAGGAUUUGAAUUUUUUAUUCAGUUGAAAUAUAUUAUGAAAAUUACACUAUGUUGUCUGCACUUUUCUAAACCAACCAGGUCAUGUGUAAUAAAAAAUAUAGUUAUUUGACAUGGAAAAAAAAAAAAAAAAAUCCACCCAUAAUUCAAAUUAUCAUUAGCACUUUUUUCUUGAAAAUGUCUGUAAAUUGUAUAACAUGUACUUCGUGGUGUGAUGUGAAGUGAUAUGACGGGUAAUCAACAAAUUAGAAAUAGUUUUAUAUUGGUAAUUUUCUCUUUUAUUUUACUUCUUGGCAAGUCACAUUUGAUCUUACAGUAGUUUUAUGACUCGGAUCUUUUUAUUCAAAUGAUCAGAAGCAGAAAUUACCAUGAUGUCAUUAAUAUCACGUGGUUUUCUGUGACGUAAUUUAUUAUUUUUAUUAUUAUUAUUAUUAUUAUUAUUAUUUUAAUUAAUUUUUUUUUUUUUUUAGUACUACUACUGCGUUGCAUUCAAACACCUAAAGGAAACUAACAGAGUCUAAGAAAUUAUGAAAAAUGAUUAUAUUUAAGAAUAAUCUAGUGUUCUAUUGCUAACUUUUCAUCACGUCACAGCUGCCCUGCCUGGAACUCGGCGAGAAAAUGCAAGACGUCUCUGGACAUCACCCAGGUCCAGGGAUAUUUCUCGACCAUGUGAUAGGACGUCAGCCAACGUGAAUGGAGCAAAGGUGGCAUCCUGGCCAAGGCGUGCGACUACAUCUCUGAACUGAGACUGCAAAACGAACAGCUGAUGGAGCGGCUCAAGGAGAUGCAGCGUCGGGACAUGGACUUUGAGUUGCUCAAGCAGGAGGUGGAGGUGCUCAAGAAUGAGAAUGCGGCGCUGAAGAAUGAAAAUGCGCUAGUGCGGUCACAGCUGCAGCAGCAAGGCCUCCUGGGCGAGCUACCUCCAUAACUCAGGCGAACCGCAAGGCUCAGCCAGCGGACUUGCACUUGCACGCGCUCUGGCGGCUCCUUUGUGGAUAGAUAAUUUAUAUACAUAUUUAAAAAAAAAAAGAAAUGAAAAAAAUGAGAUAUUUGUAAAUUGUGAUACGAGAAUUAUAUUUACAUGCAAAGCCUGAGAUGUUCAUUGAGUUGGGCCUUAGUGUGGACAACCCUUUGUUGUAAAGAUGGAAAUCAAGGAGCCGUUGACGAUAACCUCUUGCAGUCAACUGCUGGUAGUGCUGCAAAGAGGGAGGCUUGCAACACUGCAGGGAGGACCGGACCUGCUUUGUUAUAGAUGAUGAUCUGACAACCCUAAUAUAAAGGAUGAAAUGGUUAUUGUAGAUAAUCUUUUUUUGAUUUUUAGGAAAAUUGGGAAAGUUAGCAGGGAAAGUUUGUAUUUUUUUUCUUUUUUUAUAAUAUCAGUGAAAUUUAGACCCUUCGUAUUUUGUAAUGAAUAUUUUUCUUUUUCUCUUUUAUCUUUUAUAUAUAUAUAUAUAUAUGAAUGUUCUACUUGUAGUGUGAUAGUAUUUGUUAAAGUAUAAAAGGCAUGUUUUUUUUAUGUAUGAUUAUUAUUAUUAUUUUUUUUUUAAGGAUUUACUUCUUUAAGACAUUUUUGCUUUUAGUACAGAUGCUUAUUAUAAAAGGCCAAGAAGACAGAAUCAGUGAAGUUAUUUGUCUCUUUUUACAGAUAAAACUUGCUGUGUAUAUAGAUGGUGAAAAAGUAAAGAAAAGAAGAAAAAACUUGGAUUUUUGUCAGUUUAAGCUGAAAUUUUCUUUGAAGAGGUACAAAUGAUUUGUUUCUUCAUUUCUUCUACAAUCCUCCACAAAAAUAUUGGUUUGAAUAAAAUUUUUCUUCAUCUUAUUACUACUAUUGACACUAUUAUCAUUAUAAAUCAAUCAUUCAUCAUCUUCCGUUUCACUAGUAAUAUCAUCAUCAUAAUCGUCGUUUUUAUUUUCAUGUUAGUCAUUAAUUUUUUGUUUGUUUACUAUUUCACUUGUUUUCUCAUCUGCUUUUUCAGAACAUUACUCUUAUGAUUAUUAUUAUCAUUAUUAAUUAGUUAUUAUACUCCACCUCUUCUUAACGCCUAAGGAUAUUUUAGGAGUGAUUGUUCAUUGAUGCUGAUUGCAUUGGGUGGCGGCAUUUUUUCUAAUGAUAUUGAUAGUUAAUAAUUUUUUAAAUUAUUUAUAUUUAAGUGUGCUAAAAGUUUAUUUUAUUAUUAUUAUUAUUUAUAUAAUGUGAAGAAGUGUAAAAUUUGCUAUGAAGGAUUUUAAAAAGAAAAUUAGAAUAAAAGGAAUGGCAUUUAAAAAGAUAUUUACAGCCACAUUCUUAGUCAUCUCAGUUACAGCUUGACUUUCUUAAAUGACGCAACUUUCUCUCAUCGCUCAUUACUUGUUGACCAUGGCAAAUUUUUGGGAAGGUUUUUUACUGCCUUAGGAGCUCUUGCCAUAUUUCCUGUUGAAUGUUUUUUAUCAGAUUUCAACAAUUCAGAUUAUUUAUUUUUUUUAAGUACAAUUUAGAAUUUGUUUACUACCCCUCAUGCCAAAAUCACCAUCUUCAAUUAGUAAUAGAUUAGAUUGAGGUAAGAUUUGGCUUACCUGGUUGGAGAAUGUCAGGAGUGAGGGAGAGAGAAAUCUACAACAGCUACUUAACGCAGCGGAUGGCAUGAUUUGCUGUCAAGGCAACAUCGGUCAUCAACGCUGAUGGCACCGUGCCAUACAACAUAAACCCGCCACAUGACUGUAUACAUAUUUUAUUAAAACCGCGGCCAAUGGAUUGAUUAUAAAUAGAGUACUCUAUUUGCUCAUGUUGAUAACACUGAAUUUUUUUUUAUCAUAUUUAAAGGGUUUGAGAGCAGUUGAAAUAGCUGGCUGACAUGACAUUUAUUAUUCCUACAUUUCAAAAAUCCUCAAUUUUACCCAAGAUGAACUGACUCUAAAUAUGGUUGUUAGGGAGCAUGUAUAUGAAGAGAACUAGGGGGAAUUCUGUCUGUGACAUAAUUCCACAUUGAAAGGAGAGUAUUGAUUUUGGCAUAUUUUUUGUGUCAAGUAGAACUAUUAUCAUAAAUGUUGAUUUGUGAAAGUUUAUUUUUUUAUUAUUAUUAUUAUUAUUAUUAUUAUUAUAUUAUUUUUUAUUUAUUUUUUAUUUAUUUUUUGGAUGGGGAUCCUGUUUCAAGAAGUACAAACUAAGAGUUUUUUUUCUUCUUCAGAUGUUAAAGAUGCAAAUCAGAAACGGAGUGGUAUUUUUAAAAUUUAUAAUACAAUUAGCGGAAAAUUUGUUUGGCUUGGCAGAUUCUCAUUUUCUUUUUUAUUUUGAGAGCAGUUUCUCACAAAAUUCUGCCAAACCAUAACAUGCAUGUAUUCCUUUAUGUAUUUAUAUGCAUACUACAUACAGAUACACACACAAUCAUAUAUAUAUAUAUAUAUAUGUAUAUAUAUUUUUCUCUGUAUUUCAAUCAGUCUCCUCUUCUGUCCUUCUCUUUUUGAUCAGCAUUUUAAGGUUUCACAUUUGCAUAGUUUUCUCAAAAUAAUACAUGAGUAAAAAAGGGUGCCAUACUGUACUCUGCUCUGUACAUUGUAUAUAAUGUUGUAAUUACUUCAUUGCAUAGUAGUCUAGAUUCAUCAUGUAAAAUCACAUGUUAAAACAACUGUUGUGAGUACACUUGGUAACACCCAGGAAAUUUACAUAAUUAGUUUUUAUAAUAUUGUAUAUAAUAUUUUUAGGCAUGCCUUUAAGGAGAACAUCCUUAAUGAAGAAAAUAUAUAUAUAUGUAUAUGUAUAUGUAUAUGUAGAUGAGAAAAUGAUAAUGGUAAAGAAGAAGCAAGAACUUUAAAAACAGCAAAUAUUGACUACCAAACACUAAGGCAAAAGACUAACAGCAACAACCAUAGACACAAGCAAGUCUUGUGCUAUGGUGUUCUGGUUUACCAUUGAUUAACUGUUUUUUUCUGUUACUGGGAAAGGAGUUGGUUAUUUAAGUAGGAUACAAAAAGGGCAGGAAACUUCAGCUCGACUUCCUUCUAAUUGCAAGAUGUUGAGGGCAGUGUUUUUUCUAUCAUCUUGCAUGCAAUACUUAUUUUCAUUUAUUUAGAUAUUGUUUAAAUGGGAAAAUGUGUGAAAAACUGAUUUUGGGUGUAUGUUGUUAUGCAAAAUAUUUUCAUGGAAAUGGAAGGUCCUUAUUCAUCCAUUGUAGUAGAUAAUGUUUCACUGAUAUGACAUCUUGUGGCAAUAAACAGAUUUUGUCAAAAUUUAAUUGUAUAAAAGCUUCAUCAAAGUGAAGGAUACAACAUAUGAUAGUUUAGUAAAAUACAAGUUUAUCAACAUAUUAAUGUGUUAAAAAAAUCUAAGAAAGCCAUUUAUCCAAAAGAAAUUUUAGAUGAGAAUUAUGACAAGCUUUUGAAGGAAGAAGAGACUGAAUAGAUAGAUCUGCAGGAACCUUGUAGGUUAUACCCUGUUAAAGGCAAAUAUGAUGUAAUAUUACUAAAA
rnacentral:lncRNA from 1 species